ACAGGAUUUUCAGAGGUCUCUAGCCCGUUUAUAUACUAUUCUUAAAUAUUCAACUUGUAAAUAUUAUUUGUGGGUAAAUAAAAAACUAAAAAUAAAAAAUUAAAGGGCUACCGUAGGAACGAGGCAACAAGAAGUCGACGAGUUUUUAACAAUCGUCUUAGUCGUGCACGAAUGACGGUAAACACCUUUGGUAGGUGAAAAGGAAAAUACAUCAGAUUCAAAAAGCGGGUGGACAUGGAUGUAAGUACUCUGGCACAUGUUGUACAGGCUCAUGCGUGUUACAUAACAUAUUCCGAAUGAUUAUACACUCAAACAUCUGGGGCCGGUUGUAUAAAAAAGUGAUUAAAGUUAAUUAUAAUUAAGUGGAAACGUCAUCCAAUAAGAAGCGCCUAUUUGAGAGUUAAUCACUAUUUAUAAACUACAAAAUAGUGAUUAAAAAAGUGAUUAAGAGUUUUAUACAACCGGCCCCUGGCCUGGGUGUAAUAUAAUUUAGUUACCCUCACUUGUGGUCC